GGGUGGGGGUGGAGAUGGAGGGGUGGAGAUGGAGGGGAGGGGGGGCAUGGAAGGAGAGAAGAGCGGGUGACAUUACACGAGUGUGAUGUCACUGUCAUGUUGAGUGAGGAGCGGGGCUCUGCAGGGGAGGGGUGACGGCUCAGCGAGCGAGGGAAAAGGAAGGAGUAAAGAUGGAGAUAGAUGGAGGGAUGGAUGGAUGGAGGGCGAUGCACAACAGGCCGAUUCAUUAUCAGCCUGUCACGGGCGAGACAGGGGGCAAUGUGCCCUCGUACCGAUAUGUCAAGUCGGAGGCUAAUGUUGCCGCAUUGCUAAUCCCUCCCGAGAUGGAGGGUGGCGAGGGGCUGUGCUAACUAGUAAGAUAUCACCAGGUUUUCCUAUAAUAUCGUACUAGGGUGUAUCCAGAACAUGCGGUUAGAUCAUCAAGACAUGGCUGUAAUUACAGAGGCCUUCCUCUGCCGUAGUGCCGGCGGCCCACAGGUCGACGACACCACAGGGAACACCGUCGACUAUAAUGAGAGCAAAGCUACUGAAUGUGACGCGCAGGGCCCAUCAAAUCCACCCUCUCGGUCCUUGGCCUGUGAUAACGUUUUAUGCAUCUGGGUGUCUCAAUACCCCCCCAAUGAUUACGUAGCCAUUGGAGACGGUUCCUACUGGAGGUGGCCUGGCCGUGACGUGAGCUCCGUCUGCCAACAUUGGGUUUGAGGUGUCUGCUCAACAGAGGGGCUAGCAGUGUGCACUAACCCUUGGGCUAGAGGUGUCGGCUAACAGAGGGGCUAGCGUGGGGCUAGCAGUGUGUCCACUAGCAGUGGGGCUAGCGGUGUGGCUAGUGGAGUGUCCACUAUCUGUGGGGAUAGCAGUCUGUCCACUAACAGUUGGGUUAGCGGUGGGGCUAGCAGUCUGACCACUAGCAGUGGGGCUAGCAGUCUGUCCACUAGCAGUUGGGUUAGCGGUGGGGCUAGCAGUCUGUCCACUAGCAGUGGGGCUAGCGGUGUGUCCACUAGCGGUGGGGCUAGCGGUGGGGCUAGCGGUGUGUCCACUAGCAGUGGGGCUAGCAGUCUGUCCACUAGCAGUGGGGCUAGCGGUGGGGCUAGCGGUGUGUCCACUAGCAGUGGGGCUAGCGGUGUGUCCACUAGCAGUGGGGCUAGCGGUGGGGCUAGCGGUGGGGCUAGUGGUGGGUCCACUAGCAGUGGGGCUAGCAGUGGGCCUAGCGGUGUGUCCACUAGCAGUGGGCCUAGCGGUGGGGCUAGCGGUGUUGGGGCUAGCGGUGGGGCUAGCGGAGUGUCCACUAGCAGUGGGGCUAGCGGUGUGUCCACUAGCAGUGGGGCUAGCGGUGUGUCCACAAUCAGUGGGGCUAGCGGUGUGUCCACUAGCAGUGGGCCUAGCGCUGUGUCCAAGGCAGUGAGCUAGUGCCGUCUGCUCAGGGCUGAACAGCUGAAUCAACCCGAGAAGCUGCUGCCCCGCAUACCUGAGAGGACAUAAGUUUCCACCAUAUAUCCGUCAGGUGCCGCCGCCCCGCCGCCCGCCGCCCCCCCCCCCUCGGCUCUGAAGGGGACAGCGACGGACAGCACAGUGAGUAAAGGGGUUUGCUUUGUGCUUAUUCCGGUCAAUAAAAGGUGAGCGGUGUGUUAGCGCUUAUUCAGUCCGGCAUUGGCUAUUUCAAGGAUUACUUAAACCUAUAAGCACUUAAUCAGAUUGCCAUUAGCUCUGAACAAUAUGAAUAUGAGUCUGCUUGAUAUAUAACAUAUGCGUCUCAUCAGAAUCUGCAGUGUGUCUCCGUCUA
ensembl:lncRNA